GGGCCAUUAGCACAGUGGUAAUGCAUCCCGCUCGCAGCGGGAAAACGGGAGUCCGAUUCUCCCAUGGUCCA
rnacentral:tRNA from 1 species